rnacentral:other from 1 species
UUGGGCCUGCGGUGUUUGUGAAGAGACAGUUCUCUUGGCUCAAACUACAUUAUUGGGAUUCGGUAUAGCCAGGAUGUAUUGAUCCAGCGGAAGGGUUCGCCCUUCUUCUAGCAGGAACAGAAUUCCCGGCACCUAGUUUCCCCCUUGAACCUUAGGUUCAAGAGAUUUCCCUGAUCAUCACCGCAGGUCUUUU